rnacentral:rRNA from 1 species
UACGUAGGGGGCAAGCGUUGUCCGGAAUCAUUGGGCGUAAAGCGCGUGUAGGCGGUUCGAUAAGUCUGCUGUGAAAGUCCAGGGCUCAACCCUGGGAUGCCGGUGGAUACUGUCGGGCUAGAGUACGGAAGAGGCGAGUGGAAUUCCCGGUGUAGCGGUGAAAUGCGUAGAUAUCAGGAGGAACACCUGUGGUGUAGACAGCUUACUGGACCACGACUGACGCUGAGACACGAAAGCGUGGGUAGCAAACAGG